AAUCAACGCUGGCGGCGUGCCUCAGACAUGCAAGUCGAACGCGAAAUUUCCCUUCGGGGAGAAAGUAGAGUGGCGCACGGGUGAGUAACACGUAGGUAAUCUGCCUUUGGGUGGGGAAUAACUCAGGGAAACUUGAGCUAAUACCGCAUAAUGCAGCGGCUCGACAUCGAGACAGUUGUUAAAGCGGGGAUCGCAAGACCUCGCGCCUAAAGAGGAGCCUGCGGCAGAUUAGGUAGUUGGUGAGGUAAUGGCUCACCAAGCCUGCGAUCUGUAGCCGGCCUGAGAGGGCGGUCGGCCACACUGACACUGACAUACGGGUCAGACUCCUACGGGAGGCAGCAGUCGGGAAUUUUGGGCAAUGGGCGAAAGCCUGACCCAGCAACGCCGCGUGAAGGAUGAAA
rnacentral:rRNA from 1 species